CUGGUCUAAGAAAGCCCUAAAUGAUGCAAUUUGGCUCCAUGAAUAUGGACUCUGAACAAACUCCCUCUGCUGAUGAUGAUGAUGCUAUGUGCAAGCUAAAGCUCUGGAUACAAUGAGACGGUCAGAAUUGAACUGGUGCAGCUGAUCCCUCCAACGGGGGACACUUUGGCCUGCUUUGAGGAAGAUGCGCGACAUUUCUUGUUCCCAGAGCCCAGACUGCUUCCCUCCUUUUCUGGAGUGGACCAAGAGGUUCUUAUGACCCGAGCGCCUCACUUUCCAGGUAUCGCUCCAAGGUUGGAAUUUUCCACUAAAACAAGCAUUAUUGAGUGCUCAGCUGAUGCAGAGAUCAAUAUUUACCCCAAUGUUUCCAUGAGGCCAGUAAUAAAAAGGAACAGGAAGCGCUCUAGCAAACCCAAGACCACCUCUCCUCAGGGGAAACAACAUCAGACCCUAGGCAGGCGACAAGGUGACAGGAUGGACAAAGAAAGACACAGGACACCCAGGUCCCUGUCACAUAGUUCCAGAUCCCAGUCCCUGCCUCAAAUGAGAGACAAAAACACUCAGUCUCUGGGCCAGCUCACCGUGGACUCUGCAGCUCCUGGCCUGGCAGACCAGGACAAAACAAGCUCCUCCCGACCUUCACUGGCUUCAUGGCCUAGAGCCAGUGGAUCCGUCUCACAGCAGCGCUCUGCACUGUUGACAAACUACUCCUCACCUUUGACCAGGUCUUCAUCCACAGUGAGAUUCUCCCCAGCUGGCAGAAGAAAAUCUUUGCCCAAUGGUGUGGUUAGCAGAACAUCUGGAGAUGAUUCUAGCUCAAAUGACUCUUUUGACUACCAUUGUGGUACCAACCCUUCAUCAUUGUGGCGAUCUUAUAGAGAACAGGCCAGGCAUGACAGUUCUCACAGGGAAUGGGAAGAAGUCCAUGAGCGUGUUCAGGGGCUCCUUACAACACCAAAAGCUUUACGCCGGCUUGUCUAUGGUGCCACAGCCACUGAGGUAGAAAGGGUUUUAGCCAAAACAUCCAUCACGCCAUGAUGUCAUGGCUAGGCUCUGGAAAGGGAAAGGGACCUUCAUCUUGCCAGUGAAGUAUUCAGAUAUCAUGACUUUCCUGAUGCGUGUGGGAGGUUUAACAAAGAGGUAUUUCAGGGUAGUAGAAUGAUUAAUGUCCACACAUCCUGUAAUAAUGAUUGGCAAUGAAACAUUUUACAAUUGAAAAUAAAUGUUGAAGUUUGAACAUGGCCUGGAGGCAGUCGCUACAUUUUGACAUCAAAAGUCUCUCCUGUUCUGUUUCAUUAAUCUAUCAAGCUGACAUUGUCGAGUCCUCAGGUAAAUCACCCAAAGGCUAUUAAAAGCAAAUUGUGUCUAUAGCAUUGCAGCUCUGUGAGAACUCCUGCCAUAUAUCAGAGAAAUAGCUGCUCACUAUAGUUUGGGGCAUUAAGAACCAGCUCUGUCAGGAACAUUGUGAUCUAUUGUAGAAUGGCUGCUGAAACAGAAUUCUAUUUUGGUGUAACAAGCAAGUAACAGUGCAGAUUUAUUAGUGGUUUGCUUGGUUGGUUCUAACAAAAGUCUUUCAAUAAUUCUACAAAUAUUAGAGAGUUUCAAAUUAGGAGGGGCUGUUAUAAGUGUCUGCAAGAUGGUGAACGUGGUAGGCUGAAUCUGCACCUCCUCCAUAAGAGUCUACAUAGAACCACCAGACUAUAUUGUAGAUGUCUGUACUAUAUGUGUUUGAUAAAAAUAUUUUUUAUAUACAAUAGAAAAUAAUUUCAAUUAGAGUUUUAUUGUGUAUUAUUGUUGAGCAAGGUUAUUAAAAGACAUGAAGCACAAGACCAAAGUUGUGAUUAUGUG
rnacentral:lncRNA from 1 species